AACAGUUAUCGUUCUCCUUAGGAUGCGCGUUGCUCCCCUGUGCACACACUCUCUCUCUAGCAUCCCCGCCAGUUUCAUGUGUUCUUCGCCUUUCUUUAAAUUGGGGGUUGGUUAUUAACCGUUAAACCGGCUUUUCAGGUCUAAUAUCUGUAUUUUAAAAAAAAAAAAAAAAACACUGGUGAAAGAAUGUCAGACGGAACAAGUAUGGUGAUGGAGUCUUCUGAAAAUGGGACAGAUAUUUCCCAAGACGAUACUGGCAACAUGGAAGAAAUACCUGAAGAUACAAUAUUGUUGCGACAAACUUCUGUGAACCUUGUUCCAUUUAUUGGCCAAAGAUUUGUAUCUCAAGAUGCUGCUUAUGAAUUUUAUUGCAGUUUUGCGAAGCAAUGUGGCUUUUCAAUUAGACGUCAUCGUACUCGUGGAAAGGACGGUGUUGGUAGAGG
rnacentral:misc_RNA from 1 species